GACGAACGCAGGCGGUAUGCUUAACACAUGCAAGUCGAACGAGAAGUUUUUUAUUGAACCUUCGGGGGAUAUAAGAGACAGACAGUGGCGAACGGGUGAGUAACGCGUGGGCAACCUACCGAUCGGAGCGGGAUAGCCUCGAGAAAUCGGGAGUAAAACCGCAUAACACGGAUAUAUCGCAUGAUGAAUCCGUCAAAACUCCGGUGCCGAUAGAUGGGCCCGCGUCUGAUUAGCUAGUUGGUAAGGUAAGGGCUUACCAAGGCAACGAUCAGUAGCCGGUCUGAGAGGGCGAACGGCCACACUGGAACUGAGACACGGUCCAGACUCCUACGGGAGGCAGCAGUGGGGAAUAUUGCGCAAUGGGGGCAACCCUGACGCAGCAAUACCGCGUGAGUGAAGAAGGUUUUCGGAUCGUAAAGCU
rnacentral:rRNA from 1 species